GUGCAUCUGGGUCGGCUCAGUUGACCACACCAUUUGGGACAGCCUCCACUCCAACAUUGGCAUCAACACCUGCUCCUGGAUUUGGGACUAGCACUACAUCUUUGGGUGGAACAUCUCUAUUUUCUACACCAUUUGGAGGUACACAUACUUGAUCAAUCAACAUUACGUGCUGUAAGCCGUAUGGUGGAAUUUGCAUGCUAUUUUGCUUGAAGCAACUUGGAGCUGCACGUACUUACUGAUAUAGAUUAAUUGUAUUAGCACCGUUUUUCUUUCCUGCACGUUGCUUGUUUAUCCCGAGUUCAGUGCUUUCAUUAUAAGUGUCUAUUCAAAAUUAGGACAUAUUGUACUUCAUGACACAUCUAUGUAUUUUUCAGGUGGGGCUACAGCUUCAGGUUCCAGCUUUGGUGGUGCAUCGAAAGGAAGGUCGAAGCCCCGGGGACGACGCUAGAUGUAAAUGUGGAUGCUAUUGAUUCUCUUGACUGUUACUUCGUCCAUUUUAUGCAGAAAUUGUAACUAAUCCCCGCCCCCCUCAAAAAAAACUAGUGGAGUUUUAGGUGACUUAUUGCAUGCUUACUACUCUAACCUUUUUGUACUAGUUGUCAUAAAGUUUUAAUCCCUAUGCCCCUUCAUAAU
rnacentral:lncRNA from 7 species